GGAAGGAUGGUCCAUUGGUUAGGACACUAACCUAGGACUUAGGAAACCUUGGUUCAAUUCCCUGUUCCUCUG
rnacentral:tRNA from 1 species